AGUGAACGCUGGCGGUAGGCCUAACACAUGCAAGUCGAACGGCAGCACAGUAAGAGCUUGCUCUUACGGGUGGCGAGUAGCGGACGGGUGAGGAAUACAUCGGAAUCUACUUUUUCGUGGGGGAUAACGUAGGGAAACUUACGCUAAUACCGCAAACGACCUACGGGUGAAAGCAGGGGAUCUUCGGACCUUGCGCGAUUGAAUGAGCCGAUGUCGGAUUAGCUAGUUGGCGGGGUAAAGGCCCACCAAGGCGACGAUCCGUAGCUGGUCUGAGAGGAUGAUCAGCCACACUGGAACUGAGACACGGUCCAGACUCCUACGGGAGGCAGCAGUGGGGAAUAUUGGACAAUGGGCGCAAGCCUGAUCCAGCCAUACCGCGUGGGUGAAGAAGGCCUUCGGGUUGUAAAGCCCUUUUGUUGGGAAAGAAAAGCAGCAGGUUAAUACCCCGCUGUUCUGACGGUACCCAAAGAAUAAGCACCGGCUAACUUCGUG
rnacentral:rRNA from 1 species